GAUGACGCUGGCGGCGUGCCUAAUACAUGCAAGUCGAGCGAGCGGCGGACGGGUGAGUAAUGUCUGGGAAACUGCCUGAUGGAGGGGGAUAACUACUGGAAACGGUAGCUAAUACCGCAUACCAUCAGAUGUGCCCAGAUGGGAUUAGCUAGUAGGUGGGGUAAUGGCUCACCUAGGCGACGAUCCCUAGCUGGUCUGAGAGGAUGACCAGCCACACUGGAACUGAGACACGGUCCAGACUCCUACGGGAGGCAGCAGUGGGGAAUAUUGCACAAUGGGCGCAAGCCUGAUGCAGCCAUGCCGCGUGUGUGAAGAAGGCCUUCGGGUUGUAAAGCACUUUCAGCGAGGAGGCGUUACUCGCAGAAGAAGCACCGGCUAACUCCGUGCCAGCAGCCGCGGUAAUAC
rnacentral:rRNA from 1 species